UACGUAGGGGGCAAGCGUUGUCCGGAUUUAUUGGGCGUAAAGAGCGUGUAGGCGGCCAUACAGGUCCGUUGUGAAAACUGAAGGCUUAACCUCCAGACGUCGAUGGAAACCGUAUGGCUAGAGUCCGGAAGAGGAGAGUGGAAUUCCUGGUGUAGCGGUGAAAUGCGCAGAUAUCAGGAGGAACACCAAUGGCGAAGGCAGCACUCUGGGACGUGACUGACGCUGAGACGCGAAAGCGUGGGGAGCAAACAGG
rnacentral:rRNA from 1 species